UAGGGAAUCUUCCGCAAUGGGCGAAAGCCUGACGGAGCAACGCCGCGUGAGUGAUGAAGGUCUUCGGAUCGUAAAACUCUGUUAUUAGGGAAGAACAAAUGUGUAAGUAACUAUGCACGUCUUGACGGUACCUAAUCAGAAAGCCACGGCUAACUACGUGCCAGCAGCCGCGGUAAUACGUAGGUGGCAAGCGUUAUCCGGAAUUAUUGGGCGUAAAGCGCGCGUAGGCGGUUUUUUAAGUCUGAUGUGAAAGCCCACGGCUCAACCGUGAAGGGUCAUUGGAAACUGGAAAACUUGAGUGCAGAAGAGGAAAGUGGAAUUCCAUGUGUAGCGGUGAAAUGCGCAGAGAUAUGGAGGAACACCAGUGGCGAAGGCGACUUUCUGGUCUGUAACUGACGCUGAUGUGCGAAAGCGUGGGGAUCAAACAGG
rnacentral:rRNA from 1 species